rnacentral:rRNA from 1 species
AACCGCUGAAAGCAUCUAAGCGGGAAGCCCCCCUCGAGAUGAGGUCUCCCUGGAUCCGUCGAGAUCCCUGAAGGGUCGUUGUAGACCACAACGUUGAUAGGCGGGAUGUGUAAGUGCAGUAAUGUAUUGAGCUAACCCGUACUAAUAGCCCGUGAGGCUUGACCAUAUAACACCCAA